AGUGAACGCUGGCGGUAGGCCUAACACAUGCAAGUCGAACGGCAGCACAGUAAGAGCUUGCUCUUACGGGUGGCGAGUGGCGGACGGGUGAGGAAUACAUCGGAAUCUACUUUUUCGUGGGGGAUAACGUAGGGAAACUUACGCUAAUACCGCAUACGACCUACGGGUGAAAGCAGGGGAUCUUCGGACCUUGCGCGAUUGAAUGAGCCGAUGUCGGAUUAGCUAGUUGGCGGGGUAAAGGCCCACCAAGGCGACGAUCCGUAGCUGGUCUGAGAGGAUGAUCAGCCACACUGGAACUGAGACACGGUCCAGACUCCCACGGGAGGCAGCAGUGGGGAAUAUUGGACAAUGGGCGCAAGCCUGAUCCAGCCAUACCGCGUGGGUGAAGAAGGCCUUCGGGUUGUAAAGCCCUUUUGUUGGGAAAGAAAAGCAGCAGGUUAAUACCCCGCUGUUCUGACGGUACCCAAAGAAUAAACACCGGCUAACUUCGU
rnacentral:rRNA from 1 species